GCGGGGGUUGCCAAGCAUGGCCAACGGCGCAGGACCCUCAACCCUGUCUCUUAGGGGUUCGUGGGUUCAAAUCCCACCCCCCGCA
rnacentral:tRNA from 1 species